rnacentral:rRNA from 1 species
UACGAAGGUGGCAAGCGUUGUUCGGAUUUACUGGGCGUAAAGGGAGCGUAGGUGGUGCGGUAAGCCCUCCGGGAAAGCUUCAGGCUUAACCUGAAAAGGUCGGGGGGGACUGCCACGCUAGAGGACGGGAGAGGAGCGCGGAAUUCCGGGUGGAGCGGUGAAAUGCGUAGAGAUCCGGAGGAACACCGACGGCGUAGGCAGCGCCCUGGACGAGACCUGACGCUCAGGCACGAAAGCGCGGGGAGCGAACAGG